rnacentral:rRNA from 1 species
GAGUUUGAUUCUGGCUCAGAUUGAACGCUGGCGGCAUGCUUUACACAUGCAAGUCGAACGGCAGCACGAGUGCUUGCACUUGGUGGCGAGUGGCGAACGGGUGAGUAAUGCAUUGGAACGUGCCUUGUAUUGGGGGAUAACUGAGCGAAAGCUUAGCUAAUACCGCAUACGCCCUGAUGGGGAAAGCUGGGGAUCGUUUGACCUGGCGAUAUAAGAGCGGCCAAUGUCUGAUUAGCUAGUUGGUGAGGUAAAGGCUUACCAAGGCGACGAUCAGUAGCGGGUCUGAGAGGAUGAUCCGCCACACUGGGACUGAGAGACGGCCCAGACUCCUACGGGAGGCAGCAGUGGGGAAUUUUGGACAAUGGGGGGAACCCUGAUCCAGCCAUGCCGCGUGUCUGAAGAAGGCCUUCGGGUNGUAAAGGACUUUUGUUGGGGAGCAAAGGUAUCUGGUUAAGAGCUGAGAUAUGAGA